GCAUCGAUGAAGAACGCAGCCAGUUGCGAUAAGUAGUGUGAAUUGCAGAAUUCAGUGAAUCAUCGAAUCUUUGAACGCAAAUUGCGCUUUCUGGAUAUCCAGGGAGCAUGCCUGUCUGAGCGUCGUUUAAUAAUCUACACACCUCCGUGUGGUUAGGGAGCUCAUGCAUUCUCGAUUGCCUGUCUCUUGAUGUAUCUGAACCUGCAGAACACUUGUGUACUGCUUGGAAGGCUCAAUUUGCUUCUGUCCUUCUAAAGUAACUACUGCAAGACUGUUUUGUAUGGUUCUUCGAAUCCCUUGAAUUCAUUCUUGAUUUUUGACCUCAGAUCAGACAAGACUACCCGCUGAAUUUAAGCAUAUCAAUAAGCGGAGGA
rnacentral:rRNA from 1 species